GCACCUGCCUGCAGCUGUGUGUGUGUGGGGGAGCCUGGCUUUGCCUGAAAUCACUUCCUUUUGGUGUUGAGGGGUGGGGGUGCUGCGUGGUGUGGUGGGUUGUGCUGAGAGCCCAUGACCCCAGCAGCCAUCGCUCGGUGCCCCCAGCCCACAUUUGGGUGGGCUGGGACCCUGCUGGGGCUCCCUUUUCAGAGCAGCUCUGACUGUAGCUUGCCCCAGGGCCAGGAGCCCCGCUGGAAACCCUCCAAACGCCCCCGUGCUGCCUUCUGCUGCUGGCUGGGGCUUCGCCUCGAGCGGCUCUACCCAAAGGCAUCUGCAAGGAGACGACGUCGCCGCUCCCUGCGGGCAGGCAGCCAGCCCGGAUUGCUUCCUCGGCCACCGCAGCCGGCAAUUAAACCCCGGCGAUCGCCAGCAACCCCUGCCUGACCCAGCUGCUGUGCCGAAGCGCCCCGACCUGGCAUUAUCGCGGCUGCUUUUGUGCAGCAAAUAACAGCUCCAGAAACGCCGUGAUGUUUGGGAACACCGCAGCGCCCACCUCUCUUGCCUGUGCUCCCUCAUGCAGGACUGAAGACGCGGCGUGACUUUCCAUUCCCUUCUUAUCUCUGUCCCCAGAGGACGUCGUUAUUUCUGCUCAGACUAUUCAAGCACAAACGUUUGAUGGUAGCCCCGCUGCAGGAAGCCAUCUGAAGACAUUUGGGAGAGCGGAGGGCGGUGAGCGCAGGUGGGGCGCAGAUUUCCUCUCCCCCCUUGCAGCCACACGAGCAAUCGCACUCCAGGUAACGCUGCCAGCAGAGCAAGCAGCAGGAGACGAGCUCGCUGCUUGGCUAUUACACAAGCAAACCACCAAGAGUCGGAGCCCAGCCGGAUCCAUCCCCAGCACAUGCAUUAUCCCCUACCAGCACUGCCAAGGAACGAGGAGGUUUUGUGGUUGUUUGCAUCCCAUGGAGGCAACUAAGGUAAUCAAUGCCUAAUAUUCCUAAUUCCCAAACGAUGUGUGUUUCUGGAAAUAUAUUUUUUUUUAAUUAAAAAAA